GAUGAAGAACGUAGCGAAAUGCGAUACGUAAUGUGAAUUGCAGAAUUCAGUGAAUCAUCGAGUCUUUGAACGCACAUUGCGCCCCCUGGUAUUCCGGGGGGCAUGCCUGUCCGAGCGUCAUUGCUGCCCUCAAGCACGGCUUGUGUGUUGGGCCUCCGUCCUCCUCCCGGGGGACGGGCCCGAAAGGCAGCGGCGGCACCGCGUCCGGUCCUCGAGCGUAUGGGGCUUCGUCACCCGCUCUUGUAGGCCCGGCCGGCGCUUGCCGACACAUCAAUCUUUUUUCCAGGUUGACCUCGGAUCAGGUAGGGAUACCCUCUGAACUUAAGCAUAUCAAUAAGCGGAGGA
rnacentral:misc_RNA from 1 species